UACAGAGGUCCCAAGGCGUUGUUCGGAUUCAUUGGGCGUAAAGCGCGUGUAGGCGGCCCGAUAAGUCCGCUGUGAAAGUCCAGGCUCAACCCUGGGAUGCCGGUGGAUACUGUCCGGGCUCGAGUCCGGAAGAGGCGAGUGGGAAAUUCCUGGUGUAGCGGUGGAAAUGCGCAGAUAUCAGGAGGAACACCAAUGGCGAAGGCAGCUCGCUUGGGACGUGACUGACGCUGAGACGCGAAAGCGUGGGGAGCAAACAGG
rnacentral:rRNA from 1 species